AGAGUUUGAUCAUGGCUCAGAACGAACGCUGGCGGCGUGCUUAACACAUGCAAGUCGAACGAGAAAGCUUUCUUCGGAAAGUGAGUAGAGUGGCGCACGGGUGAGUAACGCGUAGGUAAUCUAUCCUUACAUUUGGGAUAACAUCGGGAAACUGGUGCUAAUACCGAAUGGUCUUCAUUGCUUUGGGGCGAUGGAGUAAAGGUGGCCUCUUCAUGAAAGCUACCGUGUAGGGAUGAGCCUGCGUACCAUUAGCUAGUAGGUGGGGUAAUGGCCCACCUAGGCUACGAUGGUUAGCGGGUCUGAGAGGAUGAUCCGCCACACUGGAACUGAAACACGGACCAGACUCCUACGGGAGGCAGCAGUGAGGAAUAUUGCGCAAUGGGGGAAACCCUGACGCAGCGACGCCGCGUGAGUGAGGAAGGUUUUCGGAUCGUAAAGCUCUGUCAGAAGGGAAGAAGUGUUAUAUGGUUAAUACCCGUAUAAUUUGACGGUACCUUCAGAGGAAGCACCGGCUAACUCCGUGCCAGCAGCCGCGGUAAUACGGAGGGUGCAAGCGUUGUUCGGAAUUACUGGGCGUAAAGGGCGCGUAGGCGGCCUGAUAAGUCAGAUGUGAAAGUCCACGGCUCAACCGUGGAAGUGCAUUUGAAACUGUCAGGCUUGAGUAUCGGAGGGGAGUGUGGAAUUCCCGGUGUAGAGGUGAAAUUCGUAGAGAUCGGGAGGAACACCGGUGGCGAAGGCGACACUCUGGACGAAUACUGACGCUGAGGCGCGAAAGCGUGGGGAGCAAACAGGAUUAGAUACCCUGGUAGUCCACGCCGUAAACGAUGUGAACUAGGGAUAGGGGGUGUUGAUCCCUCCUGUCCCGCAGCUAACGCAUUAAGUUCACCGCCUGGGGAGUACGGUCGCAAGAUUAAAACUCAAAGGAAUUGACGG
rnacentral:rRNA from 1 species